GUUACAUUUUGGGCUCUUCAAUCGGGUGUUUUCGCGGCCCGAGUUGAUGGAAUCAUGCACAACCCUAUUCUAAAGAAUCGAGGAGAUGGAGAUCGUCUUCAACGGCGGUGACGCCUAAGAUUCUUCUCACUUUAGGAUUUCAUCAUCUUCUUCGAUCUGUCACGACCUGAACCAACCAUGGAGAUUCUGAAUUUCGAUUGAGACGAAUCAUCGUGGAGAAACUCUGAUUCUAGGGUUCGUCGUUCUGUGUAUCAACAAUGGCGAUUAUGAAACGGGGCGUGACUCGCCGCUUCGUCGGAACUCUAAGUCGUUUUCUCGAUUCGUUUCCUUUGAACAGUUACAAGUCGCAUUGAUGAAUUGUCAUUAACUAUGCUUUAACUCUUCCUGCCUACAAUCAAUCUAAUCCAUCUUGGAAGCGGUGAUUCUCACCUAUAAAAAGAAGGCUGCCCGUUAUUCUUCCACGGUGGAGGUGCGACUGCUCCGAUUCUGGGAGGCAAGGAACAUUAAACAUGGUGGCGACUAGAUGGGUGUGGACAUGUUCCUCUUCGACGCUAAGGUUGUUUCUUUCUUCAGACUCAUCAUAUUUUGAAACAGAUUCUGACAUAUAAAAUAUAAUCUCACAAAAAAUAUGAAUCUUAUUUCACUUUUUGGUACGACGAUGAAGCCGUUCAGUUAUAUUCUCAGAGUUUAGUGAUGACGACAAUGCUUUGGAUGGUAGUUAAGAGAUAAACUGGCAUGGCUCCCGAGUAGUCCUUACAGCUGCCAGAUAUGGUGGCAAAGUUGGAGCCAGAGGCACAGCCGAAAACAAAUCAAGAAUUGGAGGCAGAGGAGUCAAAGGCAGGAGAUGAGUUUGAUCCAGCAAAACCAAUCAAAAAUACCCCUAUAAUCCUGGAAACUCUGCAUAGAAUCUUUCCACUCCAGGCAGUGCAAGCUCAAGAUCUCAGUCUCAGCCAGCACAAUUAAGGAAGUAUAAGAGCAGUAUUUCUCCUGCGACUGCUCUUCCUCCAAAGGCUAAUGAAGUGUCGCGAAAGUAGGAAACAGAUCGACCAAAACUCAGUUGACCAAAGGUGUGAAGAAAGAUGUCAACAAGAUCUUUGAGUUGAUGUGUCAGGUCUUUUUGCUUCCCAGCAAAAGCAGAAAACCAGGAGGGUUACAUUCUGAAAAGAAGCCAAAUAUGGAACAUUCAAACUUCAAAAAUAUAGAAUACAUAGUACCUACACAUACCAAUAUAUUUAGGUGUGCGUGUGAGUAGUUAGUGCCUAAACAUUUCAUAUAUUUUACAGAUUUAUUAUAUAAUAGAUAAACUUACAUAUUAA